rnacentral:rRNA from 1 species
GACGAACGCUGGCGGCAUGCCUAACACAUGCAAGUCGAACGGUAAGGCUUCCUUCGGGAAGUACACGAGUGGCGAACGGGUGAGUAACACGCGGGUAACCUACCCUUGACUGGGGGACAACCGAGGGAAACUUCGGCUAAUACCGCAUAACGUGCAUUGCCUCAAGGUGGUGUACCAAAGCUCCGGCGGUGAAGGAUGGGCACGCGGCAGAUUAGCUUGUUGGUGAGGUAACGGCUUACCAAGGCGACGAUCUGUAGCUGGUCUGUGAGGACGAUGAGCCAGCCUGGGACGGAGACACGGUCCAGACUCCUACGGGAGGCAGCAGUGGGGAAUCUUGCGCAAUGGGCGAAAGCCUGACGCAGCAAUGCCGCGUGAGGGAAGACGGCCUUAGGGUUGUAAACCUCUUUCAGCAGGGACGAACACAGACGGUACCUGCAGAAGAAGCCCCGGCUAACUACGUGCCAGCCGCCGCCGUAA